CCUUUCGAACCGGUGGCCAGUCUGAAGUGACGCGGCGAAUAGAAGUUUUCAUGGGAAAGCGUUUUUGUUUUGUUGUUGUUGUUGUUACAACCCAUUUUCUCUCUCUCUCUCUCUCUCUCAAACAUGGUCUGAAGAUAUUUCUCAUCUCUCUCUCUGACCUCGUCCCAAUUUGAUCAGAAUUGACAGUUGAGAGAUCUGUGAAUCAGAGACCUCUCACUCUCACUCUCUGUAGGUAGUUUAUCUGAGAGAUGGAACUUGAGGAUGUAGAAUCAGAUCUCCAGGCUUUGAGAAAAUUAUAUGGACUCCUCCAAAGUAAUGGAAAUGGUUCACAAAGUGAAAGCUUGGAAUAUGUAAGACUUCUUCGCAAUGUGGUCAACUUUUCACUACUGCACCUUUACAAAUAAGUUGAAAUAUGCAUGGAAAAAAAACCCAUAAAAAUGCAUAUACAUAUGUAUAUGUAAUGUAAUGUAUUUGUGAAUUUCGUGGUGAUAGAUUUAACGAGUAAACGAAAAUUUGAAGCAGUGUCUGAGCAUUACAACUCUAGCAGCCUGGAAUUUCAUCUUUUCUGCUUUACAAUGUAGACAAAUAAAUAAAUAAAUGAAGUGCCUAUGUUUUGGUAA